ACUCCUGCGGGAGGCAGCAGUGGGGAAUAUUGCACAAUGGGCGCAAGCCUGAUGCAGCCAUGCCGCGUGUAUGAAGAAGGCCUUCGGGUUGUAAAGUACUUUCAGCGGGGAGGAAGGCGAUAAGGUUAAUAACCUUGUCGAUUGACGUUACCCGCAGAAGAAGCACCGGCUAACUCCGUGCCAGCAGCCGCGGUAAUACGGAGGGUGCAAGCGUUAAUCGGAAUUACUGGGCGUAAAGCGCACGCAGGCGGUCUGUCAAGUCGGAUGUGAAAUCCCCGGGCUCAACCUGGGAACUGCAUUCGAAACUGGCAGGCUAGAGUCUUGUAGAGGGGGGUAGAAUUCCAGGUGUAGCGGUGAAAUGCGUAGAGAUCUGGAGGAAUACCGGUGGCGAAGGCGGCCCCCUGGACAAAGACUGACGCUCAGGUGCGAAAGCGUGGGGAGCAAACAGGAUUAGAAACCCCAGUAGUCCCAUGAU
rnacentral:rRNA from 1 species